rnacentral:lncRNA from 1 species
UCCCAAAAAAGAUGGACCAUUGCCACUGGGUCCCUACCUCUAUUAUUGGUGUAGAAGAGGUCACUUAUGCUUAUAGAUUCCAUCAUCUUGGUGCUGAUGAAGGACGAUCACUGACUCAAGGAUAUAUUGGCAACCCAUGGGUGAAGUAGGAUGCUCACAUACUGACCAUCCCCUAUAAGCCAUCUUGUCUGGAGAAUCACAUUAGGGGCUUGCACACAAAUCUCCCUCUACAAGAAG